rnacentral:rRNA from 1 species
AACGUAGGUGGCAAGCGUUAUCCGGAAUUAUUGGGCGUAAAGAGCUCGUAGGCGGUUUGUCGCGUCGAAUGUGAAAACCCGGGGCUCAACCCCGGGCCUGCAUUCGAUACGGGCAGACUAGAGUUCGGUAGGGGAGUCUGGAAUUCCUGGUGUAGCGGUGAAAUGCGCAGAUAUCAGGAGGAACACCGGUGGCGAAGGCGGUUCUCUGGGCCUUACCUGACGCUGAGGAGCGAAAGCGUGGGGAGCGAACAGG